GUUUGAGGUCUUGUAAGGGAAACUGAAGGGAAUUGUGUAUUGAACAGGAUGGCUUAGACCUGCUCAACUUCUGAGAAUUGAGAUUGUGAGACUCCCAGUUCUAGCCAGAUAUCACCACUUCAAAGACAUAACAAAAAGGCAAAGUGGGCAAUCCAGAUGUAUCACUUGACUUUCUGACUACUGGAAGAAUUUCCCUUCAUUAUUGCACACCAGGGGUAUCCCACAGGCUCAUAAGUGAAAAGGACUUGCCUUGUCUCAGACGAGACUUUGGACUGUGAACUUUUGGGUUAAUGCUGAAAUGAGCUUUCUCCUCACCAACUCUUCAAAGAUCCAGUUGAUACAAAAUGCACAUGCUAAAAUAUGAUUCCCCAGUCCUG
rnacentral:lncRNA from 1 species